GAAUUUUGCGCAAUGGGCGAAAGCCUGACGCAGCAACGCCGCGUGAGUGAUGAAGGCCUUCGGGUCGUAAAGCUCUGUCAGAAGGGAAGAAAUGUGGGGAUGUUAAUACCAUCUCUACUUGACGGUACCUUCAAAGGAAGCACCGGCUAACUCCGUGCCAGCAGCCGCGGUAAUACGGAGGGUGCAAGCGUUGUUCGGAAUUAUUGGGCGUAAAGCGCGUGUAGGCGGUCUUUUAAGUCGGAUGUGAAAGCCCCGGGCUCAACCUGGGAAGUGCAUUGGAAACUGGGAGACUUGAGUACGGGAGAGGGCAGUGGAAUUCCUAGUGUAGGAGUGAAAUCCGUAGAUAUUAGGAGGAACACCGGUGGCGAAGGCGGCUGCCUGGACCGAUACUGACGCUGAGACGCGAAAGCGUGGGGAGCAAACAGG
rnacentral:rRNA from 1 species